rnacentral:rRNA from 1 species
UACGUAGGGGGCAAGCGUUGUCCGGAAUCAUUGGGCGUAAAGAGCGUGUAGGCGGUCCGAUAAGUCCGCUCUGAAAGCCCGGGGCUCAACCCCGGGAGGCGGGCGGAUACUGUCGGGCUAGAGUCCGGAAGAGGCAAGUGGAAUUCCUGGUGUAGCGGUGAAAUGCGCAGAUAUCAGGAGGAACACCAGUGGCGAAGGCGAGUCUCUGGGAUGAUGCUGACGCUGAUGCGCGAAAGCCAGGGGAGCAAACGGG